CGUCCUGUUGAAAUUCCCGGGGCUUAACUCGGGCGGUGCAGGCGAUACGGGCAUAACUUGAGUGCUGUAGGGGAGACUGGAAUUCCUGGUGUAGCGGUGGAAUGCGCAGAUAUCAGGAGGAACACCGAUGGCGAGGGCAGGUCUCUGGGCAGUAACUGACGCUGAGGAGCGAAAGCAUGGGGAGCGAACAGGAUUAGAUACCCUGGUAGUCCAUGCCGUAAACGGUGGGCGCUAGGUGUAGGGGUCUUCCACGACUUCUGUGCCGUAGCUAACGCAUUAAGCGCCCCGCCUGGGGAGUACGGCCGCAAGGCUAAAACUCAAAGGAAUUGACGGGGGCCCGCACAAGCGGCGGAGCAUGUGGAUUAAUUCGAUGCAACGCGAAGAACCUUACCUGGGCUUGACAUAUACAGGACUGGGCCAGAGAUGGUCUUUCCCUUUGUGGCUUGUAUACAGGUGGUGCAUGGUUGUCGUCAGCUCGUGUCGUGAGAUGUUGGGUUAAGUCCCGCAACGAGCGCAACCCUUGUCUUAUGUUGCCAGCGGUUUUGGCCGGGGACUCAUGAGAGACUGCCGGGGUUAACUCGGAGGAAGGUGGGGAUGACGUCAAAUCAUCAUGCCCCUUAUGUCCAGGGCUUCACACAUGCUACAAUGGUCGGUACAACGCGCUGCGAGCCUGUGAGGGUGAGCGAAUCGCUGAAAGCCGGCCUCAGUUCGGAUUGGGGUCUGCAACUCGACCCCAUGAAGUCGGAGUCGCUAGUAAUCGCAGAUCAGCAACGCUGCGGUGAAUACGUUCCCGGGCCUUGCACUCACCGCCCGUC
rnacentral:rRNA from 1 species